rnacentral:rRNA from 2 species
AACGUAGGAGGCGAGCGUUAUCCGGAGUUACUGGGCGUAAAGGGCGCGCAGGUGGUAGGGUAAGUGUGGCGUGAAAGCUCCCGGCUAAACUGGGAGAGGUCGAAACAGACUGCCCAACUAGAGAGUGAUAGAAGUACGCGGAAUUCGGGGUGUAGCGGUGAAAUGUGUAGAGAUCCCGAGGAACACCAGUGGUGAAAACGGCGUACUGGGUCAUAUCUGACACUGAGGCGCGAAAGCUUGGGGAGCGAACGGG